GGUCAGGUGACAUAGAUAAUCACUUUCAAAUGUGGUUUUGUUGAGUAGAGAUGCAUGGGCCUUCCAUUGCCAUGAGUUUUUCUUUUCUUUGAAAUUCAAGUGAUUAUUUCAAAUCAUGAACUUCACAAAUCCACACAUGUAAAGUUAGUGUUCUUCAUAAUAAUAAAAACAGUAGAACUUAAUAAAUGUUCGUCUUGAGUAAGUCAAUGUGACAAAUAUUGGACUGGCCAAAAAUUUCGUCUGCGUUUUCCCAUAACAUGGAAAACUAGAACUUUCUGGCCACCUCGAUACUUUGUAUCCCUUUUCUGUUUGAAUCCUUUGGAAACUUUAUAAGUUGUUUUAUCCCUUCAAUAGGACAAGAAACAGGCCCUGAAAGUUUAUGUACUGUGUGGUCAGGCCAUUCAUGAUGGCUGUUGUCCUACACUCUGGACUCGCUCUGCCUGACCAGUCCCUGCCUCACUCACAUGAUUCCCCAGUUUUUUUAAUUAUCCGGCUUAAUCAGUAACUGCCUGCACGUUUGCCCCCUGCCCUAGCGCUGGUUUCCCUAGUAACUGAUGAGCCAACCCGGCGUCAGUUCCCCCUAUAAACGGUAGGCUCACCGCCGCCUCCCCGCCCCCCCCAACAACAAGCGUAGUGCUGCGUGCCGUCUGUCGUCUGUCGUCUGUCGUCCGCAGGGGGCUGUCUCUCCAGGACCUUUGUUUUGGAUGUGAAUGAGGACAGCUGCCAGAUCCUGCUGUCUGCUGCACACAGUCGGGUAUCAUUCCAGGACCUUGCUUCAGAAGUUAAGUUCCCCCUCUAUUAAAUCACUGGUGUCUGUUGCUGACUCUGGGCUCGUUCUGAUGGGCAAGCACAGCCCUACAGGGUGCAGCCCAACUACUGUUGGAGCAGCCAGGAGACGGAGGAAACCCUCGUGAGCGUGGAUGUGGCAGGAAACACAGCAUAGGGAGGGGAAAGUUGUGGGGGUCAUCCACUAACACAUGGGGCCCCAAAGUUCCAUAGGUCAAGCCGAAAGUUAUGGGAAAUCCCGGGGUGGCUGUCCGCUAGUAUGUGGGGCUCCAGGGUGGCUGUCCUUGCUAACUGGAGGCUGCCAAGAGAUCUGGAGAACAAUGGUCUCUAAUGACUGCUAUUGUAGUGAGUCUUGUAAUAGGUUAAGCUAGCUUUCUAGAAGGAACUGGUAUUUCUCUUGUCCCUUUGAGAUAUAAAUAACCUACCUGUGCUCUCUGGAACUUUAACCUCCUGUGAUCUUUUUGGAUGUGCCUUGUAUAUCUUCUUUGGCCUUUGAGGAUAUGGAUGUAUUUGAAAGUCAAAAUGGAGUAGCUGUGGUGCAGACAUUGGAAGUAAAACUAGGUGGCCAUCGUAUACAUGAUUUUAGGCACAUUCUUGUAUUGUUGAAAGCUUGUUUUCUGAACUGUUUGCAGACCAGGACAUUAUCUCAGAAUGAGGUUACUGCUUGUAUUUUGCUUAAUUGUCAUGAUCUCCCCUCUGUUGUACCUGUUGGAUGUCUUUGGUUUCAUCCCUAGUCUGUGGGAGGAAAUCUAUUUGAGGACUGAGCAACACCACUGGCCUCCCUGUGAAAUGAGUCAAAUUUCUGGGUCUACAGUGAAAUGGCAUUGUUGUCCUCCUCUGGAUUCCAUGAAAAAUUGACCUGCCUAAUGUGAUUAUGUAGGGGUUACUGACAAUGAGGGGAAAGGCUCAUCAUCUUCCGGUCCCACAUGCUGAUACAUCAGAAAGACUCCUGUCAAUAAACAUUACUGAAUGACCAACAGCCCAUGAGCCGCCCCCCAGACUAUGCUGUACAGAGAGGAAUAGGCUGGACUUCUGGACAUACAGUCCAUCUAGUGGGGUUAAUUGCUUUUGUUUGGAAAGACUUAAUGGGUCCACCUUUAACAGCACUCAGCAUCACACGAGAUGAAGAUAUGUACUGUGACCGCUGACUUCUGGCCAGACCAUCAGACUGUUUCUUUUAAAAGGAGAAAAUGGAAGCAGUGGAAGAAGGGUUGGCUGGUGGACACCUGAGGAUCCUUCGUUUCCUUCUGCCCACCUUCCAGGAGGCUUUGAUUUCCUGGGACCUGUGGGGUUAUGAGAAGUCCGCCUGUGGCGCCAUGGGGGUAGAGGACGUGGUUUGGGCUAAAGCGCUCACACUAGGUGUAGACGGAUGGACUGUGCUGAUGAGCACAGACUACGUCCCUUAUCACCUACAGGGCUGGGGAUUGUUUGCAGGUGAACAUAGUACUUAAAAGCAUCUAAUCACAGUGACUCUUCACUUUUCUGAGGAUUCUGUGACCAGUACUCAUUCUUGCUUUGGAGAAUGUAAUGUAGAUAUGAGACAGACUCCCUGGAGGUCAUAUUAUUUUCUAAAGCCAAUGACAGGUAAGUGCAGGGGCAGCUGUGAGGCUCAAAGUAGUCACCAGGGGAACUCUUGAGAACUACCCAUUCAGGUCAAGAGAGUCCAAAUGACCAUAGGGGGACAUAUGUAUGUGGUGAGUUCUCUGACCUUCACCACCCUUAGCUCUUUCAAGAUUUGUCCUCUGUAUUGAAGCCCUUUAUAUUGACAUAUAUAAAGGAUCUCUUUUUCCUAUCCACAAACUGGCUGAUACAAGGUAAUAGUUAAAUUUGUGAGGGAGGUUGAUAUGGUUUGAGAGCAUCAUCUUCAAUUGGGAAGAAAAAUGCUUAUGUGUGAAUCCUUGGGCAAUACCAAUACUUGGGAAUCAGUGGAGGGAGACCAGAAAUAAGACCAAAAAAGGAACUGUCUGAUGCAGAGGAAGAGAACUAGUGGAUUAUAAUGUGGAAACCAAAGCAUUAAGUUUCAAAGAGGAGGAGGAAUUUGCGAAGGAACAAGACUUGGUAAGAGAGAACAAAUGAUCAGCCAGUAGAUUUGGUGGAAAUAAGGUCACAUUAGAUCUUUGCAAGAAUAGUUUCAGUUGAGAUAUAAAGGAUGAAGCCAUUGUAGGGUCAGCUAGAAGAACUGGCCCAGUGAAUUCACCCAUAUGAAAACAGACCAUGAGUUUUGACUGCUAGUUCACUUUAAACAUGUAUCUCUGUUGGGAAAUUGGUAGAAACUAGAAAUGCUCCUCUUCCCUGACCUUCCUUGCUCCUAGAGCAAGGACAUGUAACUUGGGCUCUGCUAACCUAAGAAACCCAUUUGAGAUUUUAAUUCAGAAGAUACUGAAGGAUACACAGUGCAACUCUGGUAAAGGUCCACAUUGAAAAUAUUUAUGAUACGAUAACUUAAGAGCCUUAAGAUAUCCCUACACUUUGAUUCUGUAAUCUCAUUACUCAAAAUUGGAAAUUAUCAGAGGCCAAAGCUAUACUUACUAAGAUGAUCACAGCUGCAUGUUCUAUCCAUAAAAGGAAAAAAUGGAAAUGUCCAUCCUUAGUAAAAUGGUCAAAUAAACCAUGAUGCAUGUACUUGAUGGAAUAUUAUUCAGUUUGUAUCUUUCAUAUUAGUGCCUAUCACAUGGUAGUUAUUUGUUAAAAUAAUGUUAAAGUGAAAAUUAUGGAGACUGUGCAUGGAAAAACAUAUGGUUUCUUGUGGUAACAAUAAGUAAAAGACAAAAUGAAUUUAUAUAUAUAUG
ensembl:lncRNA